rnacentral:rRNA from 1 species
GAUGAACGCUGGCGGCGUGCCUAAUACAUGCAAGUCGAGCGAACAGACGAGGAGCUUGCUCCUCUGACGUUAGCGGCGGACGGGUGAGUAACACGUGGAUAACCUACCUAUAAGACUGGGAUAACUUCGGGAAACCGGAGCUAAUACCGGAUAAUAUAUUGAACCGCAUGGUUCAAUAGUGAAAGACGGUUUUGCUGUCACUUAUAGAUGGAUCCGCGCCGCAUUAGCUAGUUGGUAAGGUAACGGCUUACCAAGGCGACGAUGCGUAGCCGACCUGAGAGGGUGAUCGGCCACACUGGAACUGAGACACGGUCCCGACUCCUACGGGAGGCAGCAGUAGGGAAUCUUCCGCAAUGGGCGGAAGCCUGACGGAGCAACGCCGCGUGAGUGAUGAAGGUUUUCGGAUCGUAAAACUCUGUUAUUAGGGAAGAACAAAUUUGUAAGUAACUAUGCACGUCUUGACGGUACCUAAUCAGAAAGCCACGGCUAACUACGUG